GAAAGACGGUCCUCAUUGAGAUAUCCAGUGGAAAUACCGGCAUUGGUCUUGCCUCUAUUGCAGCAGCUCGUGGCUAUAAACUUGUCAUAAUGAUGGGAGCCGAAUUUAGUAUUGAGAGAAAGAUAGUUCUUAAAGCUUUGGGGGCUGAGGUUUACAUCACAGAUCCUGACAAAGGUAUAGAAGGUGCAAUUCAGAAGGCCCAAGAGAUAUUAGAUAGGACGCCAAACAGUCAUUUUCUUCGUCAAGACAAGAACCCUGCCAAUCCAAAGAUCCAUUAUGAAGCAACUGGACCUGAAAUAUGGAAUUGUA
rnacentral:misc_RNA from 1 species